GAACUGCGAUAAGUAGUGUGAAUUGCAGAAUUCUGUGAAUCAUCAAACCCUUGAACGCACAUUGCGCCUGGAUGUUAUGUCCAGGCACGCCUGUUCGAGCAUCGGUUUUACCUUCUCAUCCUUCCCCUCAGGGGUGCAAGGAUUGGAACUGAGCUUCUGAUUAACCUCAGUGGCUUGAAAAACAUUGGUGGACAGUUCUCAGGGACUUCAAUAAAGCCUUCAGAACAAUCUCUGGUACUAGAUUGCACACUGCAACUUUGCCAGGACUCUGACUGUGCCCUUGAAUCCUUGACAAGACUUGUUGGCCUUUUUAGGUCCCUUGCGACCUACCUUCAAACCUUCGAUCUCGAAUCAGGCGGGAUUACCCGCUGAAUUUAA
rnacentral:misc_RNA from 1 species